CCUACGGGAGCUGCAGUGAGGAAUAUUGGUCAAUGGGCGCAAGCCUGAACCAGCCAUCCCGCGUGCAGGAAGACGGCCCUAUGGGUUGUAAACUGCUUUUCUAGGGGGAGAAACUUGCGCACGUGUUGCGCAAUUGACGGUACCCUGGGAAUAAGCAUCGGCUAACUCCGUGCCAGCAGCCGCGGUAAUACGGAGGAUGCGAGCGUUAUCCGGAUUCAUUGGGUUUAAAGGGUGCGUAGGCGGACUAUUAAGUCAGGGGUGAAAUCCUGCAGCUUAACUGCAGAACUGCCAUUGAUACUG
rnacentral:rRNA from 1 species